UAAUAAGGAUUAACUUGGCCCAACAUCAAAAAUAAAAAUACUCCCUCUUCAACCAAACGACCCCUUAAACCAUUCUCCAUCAGGCGGCUAAGCCUAGCGCUGCCUUCGUUUCCUCUCUCUAUCUUUCAUGAUGUCCUAAUUGCUGUUUAUGGCAAAUAUUCAGGCCACCAGGCCUUUCCAUGGCCGAAUGUGGCAAAGCAAUUAAUGCUCCAUUCAUAAUCCGCCUUCUUUCCACCAAAUAAAGCCCAAAUACGCAACUUCGGCCGGGUCAGACCUCCCUGUUGGGCUAUGGCCCAACAGGCCUUUAUUUCAACAAAACAGUCCAGUGAAGUCGUGGACGGGAAGCUAAUAUUGAACGUGAUUGCAUGAAGUCACAUCCAUUGGUGCAAAUGGCCAACUAGGGGUUUGAUACACCCCUAGCCUGUCCCUUCUCUUUAUUCAUAUUAUUUCAGUUAUAUUUAUGUGUUGUAUUGUAUUUAUGAAGUUCUAAAAACUCACAUUGAUAUUGGGAUCCUUUUGAUUACGAA